ensembl:snoRNA
CUGGCCCUUGAUGCAGCUUUCUGACGCUGUUGGUCUCAAGCAGGGGCCUAAAGAGAUGUCUUUCUAUGGCCUGUGGGCCAUUUCAGAACUUGGGCAGUGAAGUGGUCAAUUCAUUAGAAAGAAACAACU